rnacentral:rRNA from 1 species
UGCAUGUCUUAGUACAAGCCCUAGUAAGGUGAAACCGCGAAUGGCUCAUUAAAUCAGUUAUGGUUCCUUAGAUCGUACCAACAUUUACUUGGAUAACUGUGGUAAUUCUAGAGCUAAUACAUGCAAACCAGAGUUCCGACCAGAGAUGGAAGGAAUGCUUUUAUUAGAUCAAAACCAAUCGGUGGCUCGUCCGCCGUUUAUUUUGGUGACUCUGAAUAACUUUGUGCUGAUCGCAUGGUCUCGUACCGGCGACGAAUCUUUCAAAUGUCUGCCUUAUCAACUGUCGAUGGUAGGCUCUGUGCCUACCAUGGUUGUAACGGGUAACGGGGAAUCAGGGUUCGAUUCCGGAGAGGGAGCCUGAGAAACGGCUACCACAUCCAAGGAAGGCAGCAGGCGCGCAAAUUACCCACUCCCAGCACGGGGAGGUAGUGACGAAAAAUAACGAUACGGGACUCAUCCGAGGCCCCGUAAUCGGAAUGAGUACACUUUAAAUCCUUUAACGAGGAUCAAUUGGAGGGCAAGUCUGGUGCCAGCAGCCGCGGUAAUUCCAGCUCCAAUAGCGUAUAUUAAAGUUGUUGCGGUUAAAAAGCUCGUAGUUGAAUCUGUGUGUUACGCUGUCGGUUCACCGCUCGCGGUGUUUAACUGAUACGCUCGUGACACGUCCUACCGGUGGACUUAGCUGUUCGGCCCUUGUGGUACGAGGCGGUCCUACUUUAAUCCCAUCGCGGUGCUCUUUACCGAGUGUCGAGGUGGGCCGGUACGUUUACUUUGAACAAAUUAGAGUGCUUAAAGCAGGCAAUUUUCGUCUGAAUACUGUGUGCAUGGAAUAAUGGAAUAGGACCUCGGUUCUAUUUUGUUGGUUUUCGGAACUCCGAGGUAAUGAUUAAUAGGGACAGAUGGGGGCAUUCGUAUUGCGACGUUAGAGGUGAAAUUCUUGGAUCGUCGCAAGACGGACAGAAGCGAAAGCAUUUGCCAAAAAUGUUUUCAUUAAUCAAGAACGAAAGUUAGAGGUUCGAAGGCGAUCAGAUACCGCCCUAGUUCUAACCAUAAACGAUGCCAGCUAGCGAUCCGCCGAAGUUCCUCCGAUGACUCGGCGGGCAGCUUCCGGGAAACCAAAGCUUUUGGGUUCCGGGGGAAGUAUGGUUGCAAAGCUGAAACUUAAAGGAAUUGACGGAAGGGCACCACCAGGAGUGGAGCCUGCGGCUUAAUUUGACUCAACACGGGAAACCUCACCAGGCCCGGACACCGGAAGGAUUGACAGAUUGAUAGCUCUUUCUUGAUUCGGUGGGUGGUGGUGCAUGGCCG